UAGGGAAUCUUCCACAAUGGACGCAAGUCUGAUGGAGCAACGCCGCGUGAGUGAAGAAGGCUUUCGGGUCGUAAAAGCUCUGUUAUUGAAGAAGAACGUGUGUGACAGUAACUGGUCAUGCAGUGACGGUAUUCAAUCAGAAAGUCACGGCUAACUACGUGCCAGCAGCCGCGGUAAUACGUAGGUGGCAAGCGUUGUCCGGAUUU
rnacentral:rRNA from 1 species